UACGGAGGGUGCAAACGUUGCUCGGAAUCAUUGGGCGUAAAGCGCAUGUAGGCGGCAUGUUAAGUCGGGUGUGAAAGCCCAAGGCUCAACCUUGGAAGUGCAUUCGAAACUGGCGUGCUUGAAUAUGGACGAGGGUCGCGGAAUUCCCGGUGUAGAGGUGAAAUUCGUAGAUAUCGGGAGGAACACCAGUGGCGAAGGCGGCGAUCUGGGAAGAUACUGACGCUGAGGUGCGAAAGCGUGGGGAGCAAACAGG
rnacentral:rRNA from 1 species